ACAAUGCGGGACUAUCAGUCUUGCAAUUGGAUUGAGAACAAUGUACAACUCUUAUCGAUAAGCCAUUGGAGGGCAAGUCUGGUGCCAGCAGCCGCGGUAAUUCCAGCUCCAAUAGCGUAUAUUAACGUUGUUGCAGUUAAAAAGCUCGUAGUUGAAGUGUGGGUGAUCGCUGUUGUGAGACUUCGGUCUCUCGACAGUAAGUCACCCCCUUCCAGUAUCCAGUAGUGGGUAUUCACUUACUUACUACUGUGUGUUGGUCAUUUACUGUGAGAAAAUUAGAGUGUUCAAAGCAGGCGUUUGCUUGAAUAGAUUAGCAUGGAAUAAUAAUUGAAGGCUUUCGUGUUCGAUUUGAUUGGUUUGUUCAUGGAAGCAAGGUUAAAAGGAACAGUUGGGGGUAUUCAUAUUCACUAGUUAGAGGUGAAAUUCUCGGAUUUAUGGAA
rnacentral:rRNA from 1 species